rnacentral:rRNA from 1 species
UUACGGGAGGCAGCAGUGGGGAAUAUUGGGCAAUGGGCGAAAGCCUGACCCAGCAACGCCGCGUGAGGGAAGAAGGUUUUCGGAUUGUAAACCUCUGUCGCAGAUGACGAAGGAAGUGACGGUAAUCUGUGAGGAAGCCCCGGCUAACUACGUGCCAGCAGCCGCGGUAAUACGUAGGGGGCGAGCGUUGUCCGGAAUUACUGGGCGUAAAGGGUGCGUAGGCGGUUAAUUAAGUUGGAUGUGAAAUACCCGGGCUUAACCUGGGGGGUGCAUUCAAAACUGGUUAACUAGAGUUCAGGAGAGGGAAGCGGAAUUCCUAGUGUAGCGGUGAAAUGCGUAGAUAUUAGGAGGAACACCAGUGGCGAAGGCGGCUUUCUGGACUGACACUGACGCUGAGGCACGAAAGCGUGGGGAGCAAACAGGAUUAGAAACCCCAGUAGUCCA